rnacentral:rRNA from 1 species
AUUGAACGCUGGCGGCAGGCCUAACACAUGCAAGUCGAACGAGUGGCGGACGGGUGAGUAAUGUCUGGGAAACUGCCCGAUGGAGGGGGAUAACUACUGGAAACGGUAGCUAAUACCGCAUACCAUCGGAUGUGCCCAGGUGGGCUUAGCUAGUAGGUGGGGUAACGGCUCACCUAGGCGACGAUGCCUAGCGGGUCUGAGUGGAUGACCAGCCACACUGGAACUGAGACACGGUCCAGACUCCUACGGGAGGCAGCAGUGGGGAAUAUUCAAAAAUGGGCGCAAGUCUGAUCAAGCAAUGCCGCGUGUAUGAAGAAGGCUUUCGGGUUGUAAAGCACUUUUGGCGAGGAGGCGUUACUCGCAGAAGAAGCACCGGCUAACUCCGUGCCAGUAGCCGCGGUAAUUC